GAAUAAUCCAGUCGGAGUUGUACAGAAGUCUUUCAAUGGGACUGGGACAUUGAUAUGUCCUCCCUGUUAUUGCUGGUCUAUCUCCUGCCACCACCUUCUAGCAGAAAUGAGAAGUUUGUCAAGAUCUGUGUGCGUGAAGCUUUGCAUCGUGUAGUAAGAUUUCACAAGUCCUCUUGCAGUUUUGAAGAAGUCCUUGGUUCAACACAGACAACACAGCCCUACAUCUUUACAGUUGGCACUUCGAAGAGUAACAUCCAUGACUACUACAUUGCUGCGGAUGACGGCUCAUCCCCUGCAUGACUAAGUCCUCUCUCAGCCUUUGUAUUUUUCAAUGUAUUGAUAUUUUAACAUUUCAGAAAACUAAGCUGGGAAUGGGUUGGGUCUUAAUGCCAUCCAGACAUUUUGCCUCAUUAGAGUUUACUUUAUUAUCUGCUUCUACUGCAGAUAAUAAAGUGUUUUCUCCACUCAUCUCGAAUGGAAUGACUGUUCAUCUGAAACAUUUGAUCUGUGAACACCACGCUGUUCAAAGAACUCUAUCCAAGAAGUCUUAUUCCCAAGCUUCACUUCAUGAUCCACUAUCCCUGAUGCAUCAGAAAGAUAGGCCCACUUGUUCAUGUUUGGGGGAUGCACUGUGAGGCAAAAUAUCACUUUUGUUUUUUGUAAAAAAAAUAACAUUACCAAGUCAUUAGCAUUUAACAGUAGUAAUAUGAAUUGCACUAAUGACUGAAAUUUAAAUGAUGUGUUCUUUUAAUGCUGUGUCACACAGUUUUUUUAUGCAUUCUGUAGUAAUUGUGAUUUUAAACACAACAUGAGUUGCAUUUCUUUGUGGUCUGUUGAAUUUGAGAAAAUAA